rnacentral:rRNA from 1 species
UCCCAGACUCCUACGGGAGGCAGCAGUGAGGAAUAUUGGUCAAUGGGCGAGAGCCUGAACCAGCCAAGUCGCGUGAGGGAUGACUGCCCUAUGGGUUGUAAACCUCUUUUGUAUGGGGGGAAUAAGCUUUACGAGUAGAGUGAUGACAGUACCAUACGAAUAAGCAUCGGCUAACUCCGUGCCAGCAGCCGCGGUAAUACGGAGGAUCCGAGCGUUAUCCGGAUUUAUUGGGUUUAAAGGGUGCGUAGGCGGUUUGAUAAGUUAGAGGUGAAAUGUCGGGGCUCAACCCCGAAACUGCCUCUAAUACUGUUGGACUAGAGAAUAGUUGCGGUAGGCGGAAUGUAUGGUGUAGCGGUGAAAUGCUUAGAGAUCAUACAGAACACCGAUUGCGAAGGCAGCUUACCAAACUAUAUCUGACGUUGAGGCACGAAAGCGUGGGUAGCAAACAGGAUUAGAUACCCGUAUA